UUGAAGAGUUUGAUCAUGGCUCAGAUUGAACGCUGGCGGCAGGCCUAACAUGCAAGUCGAGCGGUAGCACAGAGCUUGCUCGGGUGACGAGCGGCGGACGGGUGAGUAAUGUCUGGGAAACUGCCUGAUGGAGGGGGAUAACUACUGGAAACGGUAGCUAAUACCGCAUAACGUCGCAAGACCAAAGUGGGGGACCUUCGGGCCUCAUGCCAUCAGAUGUGCCCAGAUGGGAUUAGCUAGUAGGUGGGGUAACGGCUCACCUAGGCGACGAUCCCUAGCUGGUCUGAGAGGAUGACCAGCCACACUGGAACUGAGACACGGUCCAGACUCCUACGGGAGGCAGCAGUGGGGAAUAUUGCACAAUGGGCGCAAGCCUGAUGCAGCCAUGCCGCGUGUGUGAAGAAGGCCUUCGGGUUGUAAAGCACUUUCAGCGGGGAGGAAGGCGUUAAGGUUAAUAACCUCAUCGAUUGACGUUACCCGCAGAAGAAGCACCGGCUAACUCCGUGCCAGCAGCCGCGGUAAUACGGAGGGUGCAAGCGUUAAUCGGAAUUACUGGGCGUAAAGCGCACGCAGGCGGUCUGUCAAGUCGGAUGUGAAAUCCCCGGGCUCAACCUGGGAACUGCAUUCGAAACUGGCAGGCUAGAGUCUUGUAGAGGGGGGUAGAAUUCCAGGUGUAGCGGUGAAAUGCGUAGAGAUCUGGAGGAAUACCGGUGGCGAAGGCGGCCCCCUGGACAAAGACUGACGCUCAGGUGCGAAAGCGUGGGGAGCAAACAGGAUUAGAUACCCUGGUAGUCCACGCCGUAAACGAUGUCGAUUUGGAGGUUGUGCCCUUGAGGCGUGGCUUCCGGAGCUAACGCGUUAAAUCGACCGCCUGGGGAGUACGGCCGCAAGGUUAAAACUCAAAUGAAUUGACGGGGGCCCGCACAAGCGGUGGAGCAUGUGGUUUAAUUCGAUGCAACGCGAAGAACCUUACCUGGUCUUGACAUCCACAGAACUUAGCAGAGAUGCUUUGGUGCCUUCGGGAACUGUGAGACAGGUGCUGCAUGGCUGUCGUCAGCUCGUGUUGUGAAAUGUUGGGUUAAGUCCCGCAACGAGCGCAACCCUUAUCCUUUGUUGCCAGCGGUCCGGCCGGGAACUCAAAGGAGACUGCCAGUGAUAAACUGGAGGAAGGUGGGGAUGACGUCAAGUCAUCAUGGCCCUUACGACCAGGGCUACACACGUGCUACAAUGGCAUAUACAAAGAGAAGCGACCUCGCGAGAGCAAGCGGACCUCAUAAAGUAUGUCGUAGUCCGGAUUGGAGUCUGCAACUCGACUCCAUGAAGUCGGAAUCGCUAGUAAUCGUAGAUCAGAAUGCUACGGUGAAUACGUUCCCGGGCCUUGUACACACCGCCCGUCACACCAUGGGAGUGGGUUGCAAAAGAAGUAGGUAGCUUAACCUUCGGGAGGGCGCUUACCACUUUGUGAUUCAUGACUGGGGUGAAGUCGUAACAAGGUAACCGUAGGGAACCUGCGGUUGGAUCACCUCCUU
rnacentral:rRNA from 1 species